AAUCAACAAGCAGUCAAAAAGCUUCUCAUCAUUUCUUCUUGUUUGGAGUUUUAACACCAACAAACCAAUAAGACUCCCACCUCUCCAAGCAAACCCAAAAACCUCAGAAAAUAGUAAACCUUAACACAGCUUCAUGAUAUCAAAAUUCGAUCAAAGCUACAAAUUCUCCAGAGUACACAGCCAAGAAAGCAGCAGCAGCAGCUAAAGUAGGAUACUUCUAAUCAUUGUUUUGCCUUUUGCUUAAGCAAAUGAAGGCCAGUCCUGCAAGCUGCUGUUAGUAAUUAUCGUGCCGCAGUUAAGAUGCGCCUGAAGCUG
rnacentral:misc_RNA from 1 species